rnacentral:rRNA from 1 species
GAUGAACGCUGGCGGCGUGCCUAAUACAUGCAAGUCGAGCGAACGGACGAGAAGCUUGCUUCUCUGAUGUUAGCGGCGGACGGGUGAGUAACACGUGGAUAACCUACCUAUAAGACUGGGAUAACUUCGGGAAACCGGAGCUAAUACCGGAUAAUAUUUUGAACCGCAUGGUUCAAAAGUGAAAGACGGUCUUGCUGUCACUUAUAGCUGGAUCCGCGCUGCAUUAGCUAGUUGGUAAGGUAACGGCUUACCAAGGCAACGAUGCAUAGCCGACCUGAGAGGGUGAUCGGCCACACUGGAACGGAGACACGGUCCAGACUCCUACGGGAGGCAGCAGUAGGGAAUCUUCCGCAAUGGGCGAAAGCCUGACGGAGCAACGCCGCGUGAGUUAUGAAGGUCUUCGGAUCGUAAAACUCUGUUAUUAGGGAAGAACAUAUUUGUAAGUAACUGUGCACAUCUUGACGGUACCUAAUCAGAAAGCCACGGCUAACUACGUG